GAUGAACGCUGGCGGCGUGCCUAAUACAUGCAAGUCGAGCGAACAGAUGAGGAGCUUGCUCCUCUGACGUUAGCGGCGGACGGGUGAGUAACACGUGGAUAACCUACCUAUAAGACUGGGAUAACUUCGGGAAACCGGAGCUAAUACCGGAUAAUAUAUUGAACCGCAUGGUUCAAUAGUGAAAGACGGUCUUGCUGUCACUUAUAGAUGGAUCCGCGCCGCAUUAGCUAGUUGGUAAGGUAACGGCUUACCAAGGCAACGAUGCGUAGCCGACCUGAGAGGGUGAUCGGCCACACUGGAACUGAGCCACGGUCCAGACUCCUACGGGAGGCAGCAGUAGGGAAUGUUCCGCAAUGGGCGAAAGCCUGACGGAGCAACGCCGCGUGAGUGAUGAAGGUCUUCGGAUCGUAAAACUCUGUUAUUAGGGAAGAACAAAUGUGUAAGUAACCAUGCACGGCGUGACGGUACCGAAUCAGAAAGCCACGGCUAACUACGUG
rnacentral:rRNA from 1 species